rnacentral:rRNA from 1 species
UACGUAGGUGGCAAGCGUUGUCCGGAUUUACUGGGCGUAACGAGCGCGCAGGCGGUCGUUCAAGUCGCGUGUGAAAGCCCCCGGCUCAACUGGGGAGGGUCACGCGAUACUGAUCGACUCGAAGGCAGGAGAGGGUAGUGGAAUUCCCGGUGUAGUGGUGAAAUGCGUAGAUAUCGGGAGGAACACCAGUGGCGAAGGCGACUACCUGGCCUGUUCUUGACGCUGAGGCGCGAAAGCUAGGGGAGCAAACGGG